rnacentral:rRNA from 1 species
UACAGGGGGGGCAAGCGUUGUUCGGAAUUACUGGGCGUAAAGGGCCAGUAGGCGGCCAACUAAGUCAGACGUGAAAUCCCUCGGCUUAACCGGGGAACUGCGUCUGAUACUGGAUGGCUUGAGUUCGGGAGAGGGAUGCGGAAUUCCAGGUGUAGCGGUGAAAUGCGUAGAUAUCAGGAAGAACACCCGUGGCUAAGGCGGCUCUCGUAGUACGGUACUGACGCUGAGACGCGAAAGCGUGGGGAGCGAGCAGGG